rnacentral:rRNA from 1 species
AGAUUGAACGCUGGCGGCAUGCUUUACACAUGCAAGUCGAACGGUAACAGGCCGCAAGGUGCUGACGAGUGGCGAACGGGUGAGUAAUGCAUCGGAACGUGCCCAGUCGUGGGGGAUAACGCAGACGAAAGCUGUGCUAAUACCGCAUACGAUCUAUGGAUGGAAAGCGGGGGACCAAAGGUCCUACGCGUCGAUUGGAGCGGCCGAUGUCAGAUUAGCUAGUGGUGGGUAAGGCCACCAGGCACGAUCUGUAGCUAGGUCUGAGAGGACGACCAGCCACACU